rnacentral:rRNA from 1 species
GUGCCAGCCGCCGCGGUAAUACGUAGGGGGCAAGCGUUGUCCGGAUUUAUUGGGCGUAAAGCGCUCGCAGGUGGUUCAUUGCGUCGUGCGUGAAAGACCCCGGCUCAACUGGGGAGGGUCGUGCGAAACGGGUGAACUAGAGGCCAGUAGGGGGAUGCGGAAUUCCGGGUGUAGUGGUGGAAUGCGUAGAGAUCCGGAGGAACACCAGCGGCGAAGGCGGCAUCCUGGACUGGUCCUGACACUCAGGAGCGAAAGCGUGGGGAGCGAUCCGGAUUAGAAACCCGGGUAGUCC